GAUGAACGCUGGCGGCGUGCCUAAUACAUGCAAGUCGAGCGAACGGACGAGAAGCUUGCUUCUCUGAUGUUAGCGGCGGACGGGUGAGUAACACGUGGAUAACCUACCUAUAAUUCUGGGAUGACUUCGGGAAACCGGUUCUAAUACCGGAUAAUAUUUUGAACCGCAUGGUUCAAAAGUGAAAGACGGUCUUGCUGUCACUUAUAGAUGGAUCCGCGCUGCAUUAGCUAGUUGGUAAGGUAACGGCUUACCAAGGCAACGAUGCAUAGCCGACCUGAGAGGAUGAUCGGCCACACUGGAACUGAGACACGGUCCAGACUCCUACGGGAGGCAGCAGUAGGGAAUAUUCCGCAAUGGGCGAAAGCCUGACGGAGCAAUGCCGCGUGAGUGAUGAAGGUCUUCGGAUCGUAAAACUCUGUUAUUAGGGAAGAACAUAUGUGUAAGUAACUGUGGACAUCUUGACGGUACCUAAUCAGAAAGCAACGGCUAACUACGUG
rnacentral:rRNA from 1 species